ensembl:lncRNA
CUGAAGGCGGCGGAUGAUGAUGAGAGAUGGAAUGAAGGAGGGGGAGAAGGUGUAGGAGGAAGAGAGAGAAACAAAGGGAAGGACAGGAUGGGACGCCGCGGUGAGCCUCUGAGGAGGAGGGAAACUGGGAAUUAAAUGCAAGGCGGCUUCCAACCGAAAAAGAACCAGAAUGAGAAAAGUACAAUUCCCUCGAGAAAGCCAAACUACAAAGUGCUGUGAGUGCAGCUCGAGUGGAAGCAUUUUAAAAUCUUCUGGUGGGCUGAGAACGUUCAUAAACUUCUUUUUCUGCUCGAGCGUUGCCGACUUAAAGAAAGCUCUGUUUGCUCGGGACUCAAAAGGGACCCCGGAGUUCACUGAGGCUUCCCAUGUCCCCCCCACUCACACACUGAUGGGACGGCGGAACAAACUGGACCCUCUUCUGUGUUCUGGUGACACGAGGACAUGGAGACAUCCGGAAGCUCCGGUCCUGAUGGGACGCCUUCAGCCCAAGAGGUCUCUGCUGGACUCCGGCACCGAGCCGGCUCGGGUCCAGUCCUUUGUGGGAGCGACGGCGCACCAAAUAGUGUGUUACAAGUUCCUGGAUUUAAUCUAAACGUUUUUUUUGUCUUUUAGUAGUGAUCUCCAUGGUAUCAGUGGACUUUUACUACUGAUGCAAUAUAUAAUUAUGAUGUUUAUCUAAAACUUUGUAGUGUGUCAAUCAAGCUAAAUUUCCAUUGAAGUAAAUGGACGUUAAGUCACAGUAUAUUUACGGAUAAGGUGGUAACGUAUAUAUGUUCAUGUCCUGUGUAACCAGUAGGCCUCACUGACUACACUAAACAAAUCCAUCGCACGUCACCGGAUGCAGCUAGCCUAGCUUAGCAUAAAGACUGGAACUGAUGAGGACAAUGAAACACCACCAACACGUCUAGAGCUCCGGGCUAAAGGUUGUUCUGGUUACUGAGAGCAUCUAACAAUCAAUGAGAUAUUUAAGCAAGUUAGAAAACCGGCUGAGGGAAUUUAUUCUCGGCUCCUAAGCAACGGCUCCGUCUGCUUCUGCCUCUCGCUGGCUCCGCUUCAAGCCAGCAGAGCGCUCCACAUGUGGACAGGACGCUGUUAGCAUCGCUGGUUAGCAUUGGGCUGUCGUCUUGGUAAUGGUU